rnacentral:lncRNA from 1 species
AUGAGCCCAUCUCCUCCCCAGUUGCAAGUCACAAUGGCAGAGGUCGCCCUGUGUAUUGCGAAGGAAUGGAAUAAGGCUUUUCUGACCAUCUUAACACGUAUCAUUCCGUAUUUUUUUUUCAUUACUGAGUUCUGUGCAGAACAGGUGGCUCUGGAACGCACUGCUGCUCUGUACCUCUGCCCCUGCCCCGCGUCACGUGCAGCGCCUUACCUGGCUCCGUCCCUCAGCACUGCACUGCGUCCUACUCAGCGCCACCCCGCGGUUCGGGAGAUGGUACCAUACGCGGGAUGGUUCUCCCUAGCGUCGAGCGGCCCGGGACCAGGGUCUAUUGUGAUGCACCGCAUCCUGGCACCAUGGGGCACCUUACACCUCAGCAACUGUGCUGACUCCGUGAGUCAGGAAAUCGCAGGGCACCUGCGCCCCUUGGUGGUUCCUUAGGUGGCAUUGUACCUUGGUUCCGUACUGCAACUGCCUUUGGCAUUUCCAGGCCUUUCCGGGAGCUGUUUGAUGAUGAGGAUUCUUUGUUUCACCAUCUGGGUCAGGCACGUGAACUUUCUCAUAGACUCUCUGUGCACUUCCUAUUCAAAUGGAGUAUUAACUCUCACCUUGCUAAGUCUGUUUCCCCAGAAUCUUCACCAUUCACUUCUGAUCACAUGGAUGGAUAUUCAUUCGGGUCAUUAUCCUUACCAUCUUCCACUCAUGUCUGAUCACUUCAACCCGUCUUUCACAAGAAUCCUCAGAGCUGGUUUAUCCAGAACCCUCUUUAUCCUCGAUGUUUUCUCUUAAAAUUUUUUUACUGAUCCACUGUCCUCAAUCCUGCCCCUUGGCGACAGUUGCACACGUGGUGUUGCUAUAUUCGGAGUUGAGUCCUGUCCACCCCGCUGUAAAGCCCGGUUGCAGAGGUCCCUGUACCUACUGCAGUGCUUCUGAGUGAAGGCCGCGUUACCAUCCCUAACAAGUGUCACUGGGUGGACUGCCCCAUAAUGGUGGCACUCUGUGGGAAGCCAUACUGUGGUACCACCGUGCGGGGACACCAUUCUCCAUUCUUUGUACUGGCGAUCUUACCAAUAGCCCUCUACUGUAUCCACGUGGGACAUGCGGUGUUUGUCUUUAUUUGCCUGGGGUACUGUGCUGAGCAUAAUGUCCUCUAUGUGCGCUCACCAUGUAGCACCGGAAAAGGCACCCCCCCCCCCCCCGAAGGCUGCCCUGGUAUUCCAGUGUAUGCUUACAUCCCAUUUUCUCUUUCCGCUCAUCUAGCAAUUGACAUUUGGGAUAGAUUCAUCCUUUGGCAAUUGUGAACAAUGUUGCGAUGAACAGGGGGCACCAAAUAUCUUUCAGACUCUACUUUUAGUAGUUCUGGAUAAUACCACAAGUGGGAUUCCUGGAUCAUGUGAUACUCCCUCUUUUCAUAAUUUUGAGUAAUCUCUAUACUGUUUUC